rnacentral:rRNA from 1 species
UACAGGGGCCCCAAGCGUUAAUCGGAAUUACUGGGCUUAAAGGGUGCGUAGGCGGUCCCGUAAGUGCUCUGUGAAAGCCCACGGCUCAACCGUGGAGGGUCAUUGGAAACUGGGGGACUUGAGUGCAGGAGAGAAGAGUGGAAUUCCACGUGUAGCGGUGAAAUGCGUAGAGAUGUGGAGGAACACCAGUGGCGAAGGCGACUCUUUGGCCUGUAACUGACGCUGAGGCGCGAAAGCCAGGGGAGCAAACGGG